UACGUAGGUGGCGAGCGUUGUCCGGAUUUACUGGGCGUAAAGGGAGCGUAGGCGGAUUUUUAAGUGAGAUGUGAAAUACUCGGGCUCAACUUGAGUGCUGCAUUUCAAACUGGAAGUCUAGAGUGCAGGAGAGGAGAAUGGAAUUCCUAGUGUAGCGGUGAAAUGCGUAGAGAUUAGGAAGAACACCAGUGGCGAAGGCGAUUCUCUGGACUGUAACUGACGCUGAGGCCCGAAAGCGUGGGGAGCAAACAGG
rnacentral:rRNA from 1 species